GGCCCGUAGCUCAGGGGCAGAGCCCCUACCUUGCAUGCAGAAGGUCCCAGGUUCAAUCCCUAACAGCAUCU